CUACGGAGGGGGCUAGCGUUGUUCGGAAUUACUGGGCGUAAAGCGCACGUAGGCGGAUUAAAAAGUUAGAGGUGAAAUCCCAGGGCUUAACCCUGGAACUGCCUUUAAAACUAGUAGUCUAGAGUUCGGGAGAGGUGAGUGGAAUUCCAAGUGUAGAGGUGAAAUUCGUAGAUAUUUGGAGGAACACCAGUGGCGAAGGCGGCUCACUGGCUCGAUACUGACGCUGAGGUGCAAAAGCGUGGGGAGCAAACAGGAUUAGAAACCCUGGUAGUCC
rnacentral:rRNA from 1 species